rnacentral:rRNA from 1 species
GAUGAACGCUGGCGGCGUGCCUAAUACAUGCAAGUCGAGCGAACAGACGAGGAGCUUGCUCCUCUGACGUUAGCGGCGGACGGGUGAGUAACACGUGGAUAACCUCCCUAUAAGACUGGGAUAACUUCGGGAAACCGGCGCUAAUACCGGAUAAUAUAUUGAACCGCAUGGUUCAAUAGUGAAAGACGGUUUUGCUGUCACUUAUAGAUGGAUCCGCGCCGCAUUAGCUAGUUGGUAAGGUAACGGCUUACCAAGGCAACGAUGCGUAGCCGACCUGCGAGAGUGAUCGGCCACACUGGAACUGAGACACGGUCCAGACGCCUACGGGAGGCAGCAGUAGGGAAUCGUCCGCAAUGGGCGAAAGCCUGACGGAGCAACGCCGCGUGAGUGAUGAAGGUCUUCGGAGCGUAAAACUCUGUUAUUAGGGAAGAACAAAUGUGGAAGUAACUAUGCACGUCUUGACGGUACCUAAUCAGAAAGCCACGGCUAACUACGUG